rnacentral:lncRNA from 1 species
GAGAUGACAUGAACUUCUGUAGAAGCUUCAUUACAUCGUUUUAUUUAACUUACUAAAGAUAUAGGCUAUAUUUAACAUUUUAACCUACUUUAAUUUGGCCCAACUAAGCCCAUUCCAAAAUUUUGCAAGUUACUAAUGGGCUAGGCCUUAUUUCCUUAUAACUAUUUAAAUUAGGGUGUUGUUCAUUACACCACCACCUUUGUUCCUUUUACUUCCCCAGUUCUCUAUAAAAUAUUUUUAAUUACAAAACCUUUUUCACUUUUUAACCAUGUUUAUUUACUUAUUUAUUUUAUUUUUUCUAAAACUCUAAAUUUCAAUUCAAAUUCACUCACUCAUUUUCACUGCAGUCCCAUCCCUCUUUUCAAGUUUCACUUUCUCUUUUCUCUCUUUCCAGAUUCCUAUCUCCUCUUAGAUCCGUUCCCAUCCCCUCCAAUUCUCAAAUUUGUUUCCACUCCCUUCAACUCUCAGAUCCGUUAUUUCUCUUCCAUAUCGGUUCGUUUGUUU